GAUGAACGCUGGCGGCGUGCCUAAUACAUGCAAGUCGAGCGAACAGACGAGGAGCUUGCUCCUCUGACGUUAGCGGCGGACGGGUGAGUAACACGUGGAUAACCUACCUAUAAGACUGGGAUAACUUCGGGAAACCGGAGCUAAUACCGGAUAAUAUAUUGAACCGCAUGGUUCAAUAGUGAAAGACGGUUUUGCUGUCACUUAUAGAUGGAUCCGCGCCGCAUUAGCUAGUUGGUAAGGUAACGGCUUACCAAGGCAACGAUGCGUAGCCGACCUGAGAGGGUGAUCGGCCACACGGGAACUGAGACACGGUCCGGACUCCUACGGGAGGCAGCAGUAGGGAAUCUUCCGCAGUGGGCGAAAGCCUGACGGAGCAACGCCGCGUGAGUGAUGGAGGUCUUCGGAUCGUAAAACUCUGUUAUUAGGGAAGAACAAAUGUGUAAGUAACUAUGCACGUCUUGACGGUACCUAAUCAGAAAGCCACGGCUAACUACGUG
rnacentral:rRNA from 1 species